rnacentral:lncRNA from 15 species
CCAAACUGCAUGACUUGGACACAUCAACUCUGCCUGGCUGCUCUGAAUUCGACUAUUCAUCUUAACGGACCUGAGCUGGGAUGCCUGAGUCUCCUCUCAGUCCCACGGCAACCCGUCAAACUCCAGCCAGCAGCCUGCUCUGUCACACAGACAACGGUGCAGGAGAGAGAGUAGCUAAUGGGGACUCCUGCAGCGGUGUGAGUGGUGAAAACUGGCAGAGUCUCCACCAGAAACAGCUUUUUCUGGCUAUGAUGGCUCCUCAGCACAUGCAUCACCUUCUGUCCCCGAACCAGCUGCAGGCACUGAUCCACCAGAAGCAACAAGCUCUCAUUCUCCAGCAGGUAUUUAUGCAACACCAACACUAAUGAAGGAACUCCUACUAAUAA